CGGACGGGUGAGUAAUGCCUGGGAAAUUGCCCUGAUGUGGGGGAUAACCAUUGGAAACGAUGGCUAAUACCGCAUAAUAGCUUCGGCUCAAAGAGGGGGACCUUCGGGCCUCUCGCGUCAGGAUAUGCCCAGGUGGGAUUAGCUAGUUGGUGAGGUAAGGGCUCACCAAGGCAACGAUCCCUAGCUGGUCUGAGAGGAUGAUCAGCCACACUGGAACUGAGACACGGUCCAGACUCCUACGGGAGGCAGCAGUGGGGAAUAUUGCACAAUGGGCGCAAGCCUGAUGCAGCCAUGCCGCGUGUAUGAAGAAGGCCUUCGGGUUGUAAAGUACUUUCAGCAGUGAGGAAGGUUCAUACGUUAAUAGCGUAUGGAUUUGACGUUAGCUGCAGAAGAAGCACCGGCUAACUCCGUGCCAGCAGCCGCGGUAAUACGGAGGGUGCGAGCGUUAAUCGGAAUUACUGGGCGUAAAGCGCAUGCAGGUGGUUUGUUAAGUCAGAUGU
rnacentral:rRNA from 1 species